UUAUCGCGCCCGCUGUGCAUUCGGUGCACGCC
rnacentral:sRNA from 1 species